rnacentral:rRNA from 1 species
AUUGAACGCUGGCGGCAGGCCUAACACAUGCAAGUCGAACGAGUGGCGGACGGGUGAGUAAUGUCUGGGAAACUGCCUGAUGGAGGGGGAUAACUACUGGAAACGGUAGCUAAUACCGCAUACAUUCAGAUGUGCCCAGAUGGGAUGGGCUUGUGGGGGGUGUAACGGCUCACCAGGGCGACGAACCCUAGCUGGUCUGAGAGGAUGACCAGCCACACUGGAACUGAGACACGGUCCAGACUCCUACGGGAGGCAGCAGUGGGGAAUAGUGCACAAUGGGCGCAAUCCUGAUGCAGCCCUGCCGCGUGUAUGAAGAGGGCCUUCGGGUUGUAAAGUCCUUUCAGCGGGGAGGCGUUACCCGCAGAAGAAGCACCCGCUAACUCCGUGCCAGCAGCCGCGGUAAUUC